UGAAUCUUGGACAAUUUGUUACACAGCAAGAGCUGACUGACUCAGUGACAUUGCUGAAAAGAGUUCCAAGAGCCAAUGCUGUUUCAACAGUUUUCCUUAGGCAAAGGUUGGCUAAGCCAAAGAGAAAAGCAAGACAAAGAACAUUACUUCGUGAAUUCUUCCCCAAAAGGACAGCAUUGUCAUGAUCUCAUGGUUCGUGAGAACCCCCCUC